rnacentral:rRNA from 1 species
CCUACGGGUGGCAGCAGUCAAGAAUCAUUCACAAUGGGGGAAACCCUGAUGGUGCGACGCCGCGUGGGGGAAUGAAGGUCUUCGGAUUGUAAACCCCUGUCAUGUGGGAGCAAAUUAAAAAGAUAGUACCACAAGAGGAAGAGACGGCUAACUCUGUGCCAGCAGCCGCGGUAAUACAGAGGUCUCAAGCGUUGUUCGGAAUCACUGGGCGUAAGGCGUGCGUAGGCUGUUUCGUAAGUCGUGUGUGAAAGGCGCGGGCUCAACCCGCGGACGGCACAUGAUACUGCGAGACUAGAGUAAUGGAGGGGGAACCGGAAUUCUCGGUGUAGCAGUGAAAUGCGUAGAUAUCGAGAGGAACACUCGUGGCGAAGGCGGGUUCCUGGACAUUAACUGACGCUGAGGCACGAAGGCCAGGGGAGCGAAAGGGAUUAGAUACCCGAGUAGUC